rnacentral:tRNA from 1 species
GCAGUCAUGGCGGAAUUGGCAGACGCGCUAGAUUCAGGUUCUAGUGCCCGCAAGGGCGUGGAGGUUCGAGUCCUCUUGACUGCA